AGAGUUUGAUCCUGGCUCAGAUUGAACGCUGGCGGCAGGCCUAACACAUGCAAGUCGAGCGGUAACACAGAGGAGCUUGCUCCUUGGGUGACGAGCGGCGGACGGGUGAGUAAUGCCUGGGGAUCUGCCCGAUAGAGGGGGAUAACUACGGGAAACUGUAGCUAAUACCGCAUAAUGUCUACGGACCAAAGUGGGGGCUCUUCGGACCUCAUGCUAUCGGAUGAACCCAGGUGGGAUUAGCUAGUUGGUGAGGUAAUGGCUCACCAAGGCGACGAUCUCUAACUGGUUUGAGAGAAUGACCAGUCACACUGGAACUGAGACACGGUCCAGACUCCUACGGGAGGCAGCAGUGGGGAAUAUUGCACAAUGGGCGCAAGCCUGAUGCAGCCAUGCCGCGUGUGUGAAGAAGGCCUUCGGGUUGUAAAGCACUUUCAGCGGGGAGGAAGGGUCACUAGUUAAUACCUAGUGACAUUGACGUUACUCGCAGAAGAAGCACCGGCUAACUCCGUGCCAGCAGCCGCGGUAAUACGGAGGGUGCAAGCGUUAAUCGGAAUUACUGGGCGUAAAGCGCACGCAGGCGGUUUGUUAAGUCAGAUGUGAAAUCCCCGAGCUCAACUUGGGAACUGCAUUUGAAACUGGCAAGCUAGAGUCUUGUAGAGGGGGGUAGAAUUCCAGGUGUAGCGGUGAAAUGCGUAGAGAUCUGGAGGAAUACCGGUGGCGAAGGCGGCCCCCUGGACAAAGACUGACGCUCAGGUGCGAAAGCGUGGGGAGUAAACAGGAUUAGAUACCCUGGUAGUCCACGCUGUAAACGAUG
rnacentral:rRNA from 1 species